CACGUAAGCCCCGAGCGUUGUUCGGAAUUAUUGGGCGUAAAGGGCGCGCAGGCGGCCGAGCAAGUCUGGAGUGAAAUCCCCGGGCCCAACCCGGGAACUGCUUUGGAAACUGCUUGGCUGGAGUCGCCGAAGGGAAGCCGGAAUUCCUGGUGUAGGGGUGAAAUCUGUAGAUAUCAGGAAGAACACCGAUGGCGAAGGCAGGCUUCCGGCGGACGACUGACGCUGAGGCGCGAAGGCGCGGGGAGCAAAC
rnacentral:rRNA from 1 species